AAGUUUGGAGGCUUGAAGACGAUCAGAUACCGUCUUAGUCUCAACCAUAAACGAUGACGACCUGGGAUCGGCGGAUGUUGCUCUUAGGACUCCGUUGGCACCUUAUGCGAAAUCAAAGCCUUUGGAU
rfam:Amborella trichopoda AMTR_V1.0_contig_34784, whole genome shotgun sequence.